CAAGCUUAGAGUUUGAUCCUGGCUCAGGAUGAACGCUGGCGGCGUGCUUAACACAUGCAAGUCGAACGAACCUUCGGGUUAGUGGCGGACGGGUGAGUAACGCGUGAGAAUCUGCCCUCAGGAGGGGGAUAACGGUUGGGAACGACCGCUAAUACCCCAUAUGCCGAGAGGUGAAAUGAAUUUCGCCUGAGGAUGAGCUCGCGUCUGAUUAGCUAGUUGGUGUGGUAAUGGCGCACCAAGGCUUCGAUCAGUAGCUGGUCUGAGAGGAUGAUCAGCCACACUGGGACUGAGACACGGCCCAGACUCCUACGGGAGGCAGCAGUGGGGAAUUUUCCGCAAUGGGCGAAAGCCUGACGGAGCAACGCCGCGUGAGGGAUGAAGGCCUCUGGGCUGUAAACCUCUUUUCUCAAGGAAGAAGAUCUGACGGUACUUGAGGAAUAAGCCACGGCUAAUUCCGUGCCAGCAGCCGCGGUAAUACGGGAGUGGCAAGCGUUAUCCGGAAUUAUUGGGCGUAAAGCGUCCGCAGGCGGCCUCGAAAGUCUGUCGUUAAAGCGUGGAGCUUAACUCCAUUUAAGCGGUGGAAACUACGAGGCUAGAGUGUGGUAGGGGCAGAGGGAAUUCCCGGUGUAGCGGUGAAAUGCGUAGAUAUCGGGAAGAACACCAGUGGCGAAGGCGCUCUGCUGGGCCAUAACUGACGCUCAUGGACGAAAGCCAGGGGAGCGAAAGGGAUUAGAUACCCCUGUAGUCCUGGCCGUAAACGAUGAACACUAGGUGUCGGGGGAAUCGACCCCCUCGGUGUCGUAGCUAACGCGUUAAGUGUUCCGCCUGGGGAGUACGCACGCAAGUGUGAAACUCAAAGGAAUUGACGGGGGCCCGCACAAGCGGUGGAGUAUGUGGUUUAAUUCGGUGCAACGCGAAGAACCUUACCAGGGCUUGACAUCCUGCGAAUCCCUUGGAAACUUGGGAGUGCCUUCGGGAGCGCAGAGACAGGUGGUGCAUGGCUGUCGUCAGCUCGUGUCGUGAGAUGUUGGGUUAAGUCCCGCAACGAGCGCAACCCACGUCUUUAGUUGCCAGCAUUAAGUUGGGCACUCUAGAGAGACCGCCGGUGAUAAACCGGAGGAAGGUGUGGAUGACGUCAAGUCAUCAUGCCCCUUACGUCCUGGGCUACACACGUACUACAAUGCUACGGACAAAGGGCAGCAAACUCGCGAGAGCUAGCAAAUCCCAUAAACCGUGGCUCAGUUCAGAUCGUAGGCUGCAACUCGCCUACGUGAAGGAGGAAUCGCUAGUAAUCGCAGGUCAGCAUACUGCGGUGAAUACGUUCCCGGGCCUUGUACACACCGCCCGUCACACCAUGGAA
rnacentral:rRNA from 1 species